rnacentral:lncRNA from 1 species
UUAUUUCAUUGGUACUUGAUAAGCUACACAUCCUCUUCUUCCUCGUUGUCUACGACCAUGACCUCUGAAUGUUUGGUGGUUUUUAUCUUUAUUGUUGAAUUUGUUGAUAUAACUCCUUCCUCUUCCACGACCUCCACGGCCUCACCAUUGUCCAUUUUCUCUAUCUUUUUUCACCUCUGAAAUCUUUGAAGGAUGCCUGAGUUUUAAGAAGUUGCUCCAAUGGCUUUUCU